CGGAAGUGCGUCCACCCAGUCCGACUCGUCCUGUUCCCGCUCCCCGCACUAAACGGCAAGUGCGUAAACCCAGCCUCGCCAGUCAACAGUCAUCGGAGCUGCCCGCCAGUCAACAGUCGUCGGAGCUGCCCGCCAGUCAACAGUCGUCGGAGCUGCCCGCCAGUCAACAGUCGUCGGAGCUGCCCGCCAGUCAACAGUCGUCGGAGCUGCCCGCCAGUCAACAGUCGUCGGAGCUGCCCGCCAGUCAACAGUCGUCGGAGCUGCCCGCCAGUCAACAGUCGUCGGAGCUGCCGCCAGUCAACAGUCGUCGGAGCUGCCCGCCAGUCAACAGUCGUCGGAGCUGCCCGCCAGUCAACAGUCGUCGGAGCUGCCCGCCAGUCAACAGUCGUCGGAGCUGCCCGCCAGUCAACAGUCGUCGGAGCUGCCCGCCAGUCAACAGUCGUCGGAGCUGCCCGCCAGUCAACAGUCGUCGGAGCUGCCCGUCCAGUCAACAGUCGUCGGAGCUGCCCGUCCAGUCAACAGUCGCCGGAGUGGCCAGACUGCGCCGAACUGCCGGAGUGGCCAGACUGCGCCGAACUGCCGGAGUGGCCAGACUGCGCCGAACUGCCGGAGUGGCCAGACUGCGCGAACUGCCGGAGUGGCCAGACUGCGCCGAACUGCCGGAGUGGCCAGACUGCGCCGAACUGCCGGAGUGGCCAGACUGCGCCGAACUGCCGGAGUGGCCAGACUGCGCCGAACUGCCGGAGUGGCCAGACUGCGCCGAACUGCCGGAGUGGCCAGACUGCGCCGAACUGCCGGAGUGGCCAGACUGCGCCGAACUGCCGGAGUGGCCAGACUGCGCCGAACUGCCGGAGUGGCCAGACUGCGCCGAACUGCCGGAGUGGCCAGACUGCGCCGAACUGCCGGAGUGGCCAGACUGCCCUGAACGUCCCGAGUGGCCAGACUGCCCUGAACGUCCCGAGUGGCCAGACUGCCCUGAACGUCCCGAGUGGCCAGACUGCCCAGACUGUCCCGAGUGGCCAGACUG
rnacentral:lncRNA from 1 species